GCGGCGGCGAUGGCGGAGCCGCGGAGAGCCGGCGGGAGCCCCGAGCCCCCCGUGCAGGUGGUUUUACACAGAAGUAUCAUCAGCCCUUCAGCUCUGGGCCUUAGCUGGCAGGUGUCCAGCUCUGCAUGGUUCUGUGGAAGUAGGAUUUGCUCACAAUUAUGUGUUUAGGAGCAUGUUAAUAGAUUAUGAGCAGUUCAGUUCAGAGCACCUCAGUGCCACCAGUCUUUCAGGUGUGUUUUCCUGCUGUGUGUGCACCUCUGAACCAAGGGGCUGUAGGAGGAAAGCUGGGAUGGCAGAAUGUGGAGCUACAUCACAGAUCAACUUCCAAUGUGCUUCAGAGCAGUUGGAGUCUAUCAUUUUGCCUGUUCACAACAGUGAAUGCUGGUUAGAUGAGUGCCUGAAGUCAGUUUGGGAACAAGACUUUAAAGGAACCAUGGAGCUGUCUAUUUUUAAUGAUGCCAGUAAGGAUGGUUCAGCUGAAAUAAUUGAAAAAUGGAAGAUCAAGUUGGAGGAAGUUGGUGUUUCAGUAAUCAUUGGAACCAACAAUUCCUCUCAGCCUCGAGGUGUUGGAUUUGCUAAAAAUCAAGCAGUAAUUCAGAGCUCAGGAACCUAUCUCUGCUUUCUGGACUCAGAUGAUGUGAUGAUGCCACAGCGGGUUAGGCUGCAGCACCAAGUUGCCAUUCAACACCCAAACAGUAUUAUUGGCUGCCAAGUCAGAAGAGAGCCACUGGACUCCACUGAACGAUACACUCGCUGGAUCAAUAACCUCAGCCAGGAGCAGCUCCUUACACAGGUGUUCACCUCCCAUGGGCCUACGGUGGUCAUGCCAACCUGGUUCUGCUCUCGAGAGUGGUUUUUUCAUGUGGGAAGAUUUGAUGAGGGGGGAAAGGGUGUCCCAGAGGAUUUGUUGUUUUUUUAUGACCAUCUCCAGAAGGGUGGGGGAGUCUUUCGAGUGAACCAUUGCCUCCUGCUGUACCGGUACCACCCCCAGGCUGCCACUCACUCUGUCCUAGAGGAAACCAUCUGGAAUCACCGAGUCAGGUUCCUUGAGGACAGAGUCCUGAGCUCCUGGACAUCAUUCACCAUUUGGAAUGCUGGCAAGCAAGGCAAGAAGCUCUACAGAAGCUUGUCACCAGCUAAUCAGAAAAAGGUAACUGCAUUUUGUGAUGUCGAUGAAAAGAAAAUAACCAAAGGAUUCUACACUUAUGAGGAAUCUGAGAGUUUAGCAGCUCCUAAAACCAAGCUGGCAAGUAACCUGAGUGCUUCUGUACCCCUUCCUCCUGCAGGAGAGACCAAAACCAAAAAUUCCUGUGUGUCACUUCAGGGAUGCAACUCCACCCUUCGUGAUCUGUGUCAAGCUGGACUUGACAGGGGGAGCCUUUGAAGCAAACCUGGCCACGCUGAACCUGAAGGAAGGGGUGGAUUAUUAUCACUUUAACUAAAGCAAGGGACACUUGAUGCUUGGGGAUGAUUUCAGUAUCACUGAGUGUUGCCAUUCUCACCUCUGAAAAAGAAAUCUUGAAGAGAUCAGUGCAGCAGAGGCAGUGCUGCAAUGCUGUGUCUGCACCAGCUCAUGUCAUCAUCUUUGCUGCUGAAAUGGAGAAGUUCCUGUCUCUUCCCCUUCCCCAGGAAGGGCAGAGGAGCAGUGGCUGCACAUCUGUGUCUGGAAUGUGGCGCUGCCAGCCUGGAAUGCUCUCUGGAAUGGGGCUGCAAGGGCCUCAGGCAGCAGCUCCAGCCAUCCCACGUGUUCUGCAGCUGGCUGGGAACAUCCUCAGGGACACCUCCAUGAAAAAAGCACCCCCUGGAGCACAUUCCCACCUCACCUUGGCCACCAGCUGGGGUCUGGGCACUCUCAAGAGGUCGCAGAGGCAGUUCCGUCUCUCCCUCACCACGGGCAGCUCUGCUUCCCUGGGAGAGCAAAGGUUAUUUCCAGUUCAUUCAGAGAAAUCCACAAAACCCCCUCAGUGAUCCCUGUCACCCCUGCACCACACUGGGUGGCUCCUUUCAUGCACAUUUCAAAUGGCAGGAGUUUUUGGUUGUGUCACAUCUGAAGGCUAAUGGACCAUUUCUGUACCACCCUAAGUCAGAUAAACCACAAAUACACACCAGGUCUGCCACAGGUCUAUAAAAUGUCUAUUUUUAGUUAAUAUCAGCCACUGGCUAAUAAAAUGUCCAACACUAUUCUUUUACAGAGUUUUAUAUUAAAAAAAACAGUUAUUUGUACAACUCUUUCAACUCUUUUGAUUAGAAGUUCAUUUAAUUUUUCUCUAAAGUGAUUGGAUUUGGAGAAGACCCUCCCAUCCCCCUCUUAAGGAAAAAGCAAAAAAGGGUGAGUUAGAAAUAACUUCAACCUUUUUUUUCACACCUUGGACAAUUUGUCUUAUUUACCACUAGAAACUUUCCUGUGGCUAAACAAAGUGUAUUAUUUAUAGAGUAAUUUGUUUAAACUCUGCAUGACACAAUUGUUUGAUAAAGUCUCUGGAGUCCCAACAAGGAAAAUAUGUGCAUCCCAUAAUUACCAUAACUCCUUCAAAUUCUCAUUUGGCUUCCUGCUGCUAAUACUUGGGGUAAUUCAGAAUUUAGACUGAUUAUUUUAGCACUGGGACAGCGUGAGGAAAACAAGCAGCUCACUGUGACACUCAGCAACUACUUCCAAUCUCUUUUUCUGUAAAUAGCUCAAAUCUACCAAGAUAAAACAAUUAAGUUUUGAGUAAAUGAGCUCUUUGUCUUUCAUCUCAGAGCUGUGGCCACAGUGCAGCAGGGCACUCAGGGCUUGCUCCAAGCCAGAAUAAGCCAGGCACACCCUAAAAAUGACAGGGUGAAAGCAGAAUAUUCAUUUCCCUGGAGUGUUCUUCUGGGGAAGUGUUUUGCUUUGAUUUAGGAACACAGUUGUUUGUGAGCUGAACUGCCACUGCUUUUCCUGUACUGGCCCUGGAACCAUCCCUGGGUGACAGCACUCAGCUCAUCCUGCAGAGUCAGCUAACAAAUCCCUUAUGCAAUUCCUGCCCUUAAAUGCAGGUUUGCUGAUGGAGCUCUGAGUCACACCCAACUCAAUCCUAAACUUCCACCUGCAGUUAAACAAGGAAUUGGAACUGCUGGCAACCUCUCCUUCACACCUGAGACUCUUGUCCAGUUUUGCACUGGAAAAUUCAGGAAAAAAAAGCAGCAGCCACCCCUCCUAAUGAUAAACUCAGCUUUCUUUACACAAAUUUAAAGUUCUUUAAGCUCAAGCACAGAAAUAAACUGGAAACUACACAGAAGUCAAGCAGUGUGACUGCAAUCUGCAACUCUGUCAGCCACCCUAAAGGUGUAUUAGUCCUUUGAGCUUGUCUGGGGUAAACUUAUUUCUAUGAAAUGUCAAUGAAUACAAGAAGCUAUUUAAUAUAAUGACAAAAUAAAUUAUAUAUUUUUCUGUAUUUGUCUGUUCUCUGUGACUUGGGGCAGCUCCAUGGGCCAGGUCUGUGACAAGGAAAAAUGCUUAACAAGGCAGCAAAACUAAUAAACUAAUUAUUAUCUUAAAA